rnacentral:lncRNA from 1 species
GUUUUUGGUUAUUAUCUUGAAUAUUAUUAUAGAUAGAGAUAUACUGUAAACAGCAAUAAUGUACAGCAAAGUAAGACCUAAAGAUAAGUCAAACAUGACAAAAAUGGUCAGUUGACCCCCUAAGGAGUUAUUGUCCUUUAUAGUCAAUUUUUAACAAUUUUCAUAAAAUUUGUAAAUUUUUACUAACAUUUUCCACUGAAACUACUGGGCUAAGAUCAUUAUAGAUAGAGAUAAUUGUAAGGAGCAAGAAUGUUCAGUAAAGUAAGAUGUACAAACACAUCACCAUCACCUAAACACAAUUUUGUCAUGAAUCCAUCUGCUUCCUUUGUUUAAUAUUCACAUAUACCAAGGUGAGCGACACAGGCUCUUUAGAGCCUCUAGUUUAUACCACAAAAAA